rnacentral:rRNA from 1 species
ACGAACGCUGGCGGCGUGCUUAACACAUGCCAGUCGCACGGAAAGGCUCCAGCUUGCUGGAGUACUCGAGUGGCGAACGGGUGAGUAACACGUGGGUAAUCUGCCCUGCACUCUGGGAUAAGCCUGGGAAACUGGGUCUAAUACUGGAUAUGACCUUUCUCCUUAUGGGGUUUGGUGGAAAGUUUUUCGGUGUAGGAUGAGCCCGCGGCCUAUCAGCUUGUUGGUGGGGUGAUGGCCUACCAAGGCGACGACGGGUAGCCGGCCUGAGAGGGUGAUCGGCCACAUUGGGACUGAGAUACGGCCCAGACUCCUACGGGAGGCAGCAGUGGGGAAUAUUGCACAAUGAGCGGAAGCCUGAUGCAGCGACGCCGCGUGAGGGAUGACGGCCUUCGGGUUGUAAACCUCUUUCAGCAGGGACGAAGCGUAAGUGACGGUACCUGCAGAAGAAGCACCGGCUAACUACGUG